GAGUUUGAUCCUGGCUCAGAACGAACGCUGGCAGCGUGGAUUAGGCAUGCAAGUCGAACGGGAUCCGUGGGAUUGAUUAGCAAUAUGAUUUCCCAUGGUGAGAGUGGCGGAAGGGCGAGGACGAUAUGGGCAAUCUGCCCUUAUGCUGGGGAUAACGCCCUGAAAGGGGCGCUAAAACCGAAUGUGGCGGGUGGGGGCAUCCCCAUCCAGCCAAAGGGGGGGACCGCAAGGCCUCCUGCAUAGGGAUGGGCCCGUAGAUCAUCAGCUUGUUGGCGGGGUAACGGCCCACCAAGGCAAUGACGAUUAGCUGGUCUGAGAGGACGGCCAGCCGCACUGGGACUGAGAUACUGCCCAGACUCCUACGGGAGGCUGCAGUCGAGGAUCAUUCGCAAUGGACGGAAGUCUGACGAUGCGACGCUGCGUGAAGGAUGAAGGUCUUCGGAUUGUAAACUUCUGUCAUGGGGGACAAGGCAGACGCCGCGAACAGCGGCGCGCGUUGAUGGUACCCCAAGAGGAAGCCACGGCUAACUCUGUGCCAGCAGCCGCGGUAAUACAGAGGUGGCAAGCGUUGUUCGGAUUUACUGGGCGUAAAGGGCGCGUAGGCGGCGGCGUGUGUCGGAUGUGAAAGCCCCGGGCUCAACCCGGGAAGUGCGUUCGAAACUGCGUCGCUGGAGUACGGAAGGGGGAUGCGGAAUGCAGGGUGUAGCGGUGAAAUGCGUUGAUAUCCUGCAGAACACCGGUGGCGAAGGCGGCAUCCUGGGACGUUACUGACGCUGAGGCGCGAAAGCAGGGGGAGCAAACAGGAUUAGAUACCCUGGUAGUCCCUGCCCUAAACGGUGUGCACUUGACGUGGGGGUCUCACCGCCUCCGUGUCGCAGCCAACGCUUUAAGUGCACCGCCUGGGGAGUACGGCCGCAAGGCUAAAACUCAAAGAAAUUGACGGGGGCCCGCACAAGCGGAGGAGCAUGUGGCUUAAUUCGAUGCAACGCGAAGAACCUUACCUGGAUUUGACAUCCAUCUGCACGGCCCAUGAAAGUGGGCCUCCUUCGAGGGUGAUGGACAGGUGCUGCAUGGCUGUCGUCAGUUCGUGCCGUGAGGUGUUUGGUUAAGUCCAGCAACGAACGCAACCCCUAUGACCUGUUACUAACGGACAAUGCCGAGGACUCGGGUCAGACUGCCUGUUUACGCAGGAGGAAGGUGGGGACGACGUCAAGUCAGUAUGGCCCUUACGUCCAGGGCUGCACACGUGCUACAAUGGCCGGUACAAUGGGCAGCGAUGCCGCAAGGCGGAGCCAAUCCCCAAAACCGGCCCCAGUUCGGAUUGGGGUCUGCAACCCGACCCCAUGAAGCCGGAUUCGCUAGUAACGGCGCAUCAGCUACGGCGCCGUGAAUACGUUCCCGGGCCUUGUACACACCGCCCGUCACAUCAUGAAAGCCGUCUGCACCCAACGCCGGAGAGCCCAACCGCAAGGGGGGCGCCGUCAAAGGUGUGGGUGGUGAUUGGGAUGAAGUCGUAACAAGGUAACCA
rnacentral:rRNA from 1 species